GAUGAACGCUGGCGGCGUGCCUAAUACAUGCAAGUCGAGCGAACAGACGAGGCGCUUGCUCCUCUGACGUUAGCCGCGGACGGGUGAGUAACACGUGGAUAACCUACCUAUAAGACUGGGAUCACUUCGGGAAACCGGAGCUAAUACCGGAUAAUAUCUUGAACCGCAUGGUUCAAUAGUGAAAGACGGUUUUGCUGUCUCUUAUAGCUGGAUCCGCGCCGCAUUAGCUAGUUGGUAAGGUAACGGCUUACCAAGGCAACGAUGCGUAGCCGACCUGACAGGGGGAUCGGCCACACUGGAACUGAAACGCGGUCCAGACGCCUACGGGAGGCAGCAGUAGGGAAUCUUCCGCAAUGGGCGAAAGCCUGACGGAGCAACGCGGCGUGAGUGAUGAAGGUCUUCGGAUCGUAAAACUCUGUUAUUAGGGAAGAACAAAUGUGGAAGUAACUAUGCACGUCUUGACGGUACCUAAUCAGAAAGCCACGGCUAACUACGUG
rnacentral:rRNA from 1 species